rnacentral:lncRNA from 1 species
AGUAGCUGUCUGCACUGUGUGAUUACAGUGAACUCACCAAGGUGCAAACACUCAUGACAGUUGACAUACAACAGCAACACACAGUAGCUGUCUGCACUGUGUGAUUACAGUGAACUCACCAAGGUGCAAACACUCAUGACAGGUGACAUACAACAGCAACACACAGUAGCUGUCUGCACUGUGUGAUUACAGUGAACUCACCAAGGUGCGAACACUCAUGACAGGUGACAUACAACAGCAACACACAGUAGCUGUCUGCACUGUGUGAUUACAGUGAACUCACCAAGGUGCAAACACUCAUGACAGGUGACAUACAACAGCAACACACAGUAGCUGUCUGCACUGUGUGAUUACAGUGAACUCACCAAGGUGCAAACACUCAUGACAGUUGACAUACAACAGCAACACACAGUAGCUGUCUGCACUGUGUGAUUACAGUGAACUCACCAAGGUGCGAACACUCAUGACAGAGGACUAAGAAAGUGCUGACAUUUAGUAGGAAAUGCCAGAACUAUUUGCGCGAUGCGUGGUUGUUAUAGAAAUGCUUUUUGCACAAUAUUACGGCAGACAACAGGAUAAAACACGACCAUAUAAAAUCUGUGAAGGACUGAAUAUAAACCAUAUCUUUAAAAUGAGCAUCCUCCUAUAACCAAAAAUAAAAGUGAUGCGUUUGAGAUAUAUCUUAAAUAUUUUGUGGAUGAAAUCAAGUUAGCUGCCAGUAUAGUCAGAUCUUCAAGUCAAGAAAGCUAUGAAAAGACGAAUGUAGUAUGUUAAAGAACCAUUGAUUACAAAAAUAUUUACCCAUAAUUACAUACAGCACUACUUUGUAAAAAUAAAAAAUGUACGACUAGAGGUGCAUUGUUAAAGGAGGAGAGUAUUUUGAAAAGAAUAAUAUAAACGUUUUAGUUAGUCAAGAAUAAAUAUGUUCCAACCUCAGUCUGGUUUGUUUUCUAGCCAAACUGGUAUCUUUGAAAACAUAAGUAACCAAUUGAGCUCCAUGUCAUUAGUACUUUAACAAUGUAUUGCCUUAAUUCUGGUUUAAGUUGUGAGUACAUCUAUUCACAAUAGCUUAAAAAACACCUAAAUUUGAGUUUCUUAUGUGAGCUUUUAUGUAUUAGUUAAAUAUUUGUAGGAUGCAUUUAAAGAUAUUGUAAUUCCAGCGUGUCAACAAAUUUACUGAACAUUACCAGUCUGUGAUGUUUUGUUCCUAAUGUAGCACUUGACCGUGUUGUAUACAUGUAAACAUCAUUGCCUUACAUUACAGUAUUUUACCAAGCCGUGUUUACACUGCAGUUUGCAACUCAAAAGUUUACAACUGUUAGGUAUGUUUGACACAUUUACUCUUACAACUUUACACUCUUUUGUUUGAAGUAAAAAAGUUGCAAACAAGCUGUGUUUACAGUAUGAUUUAGAAGUUUUUGAAACUCUUAUUUGGAUGGCUAGUGUUAUUCAAGAUGUGAAGAAUAGAGGACGUAAUUGCAGCUGCAAGUGCUUGUUAUAUUUUGACUGCCCUAUGAGCACCAAGAGGAUGCUGGGUAAGACCAUCACUAUGAACAAGAACCAGAUGUGGUGGUGGACAUUCAGCAAAUCUGAGCAGGAGUGAUAUGGUGAUAUAGAUUCACUGUCAGGAUAAUUGAGGCAUUUUUUAACCCUAUAAGUGCUGACAUUGUGCCAUACAAUAUCAACAAUCCGCCAGCCAGUGCUAACAUCACGCUACACGAGGAUAGGUCGACGUUUACCGUAAACUACAUAACAUCCAUAAUUCAUGAUAUAUUUCAACGUAUUUUAUAUAGUAAAAAACUAGAAAAACGGCACGGCACUAUUAGUUUAUCUAUACGCUGUCUUUAUUUUUUCCUAAAUACUGUUGCUGGACUUUGAUAUCUUCAGCUGGAUCGUUGUUUCUUGUAGUCGCUCUUUAUGCGAGUUAUUUUGUUGUUGAUAACUAAAUAGAUUUAAAUAGACUAAGUAAAUAACUACAGUUUUUUAGCUUUCUUACAGGUCGGAAAUAUGUAAAAUAUCGACAAGGACAGUAAGUAAUUAAUUAGAAAAGAUAAAGAUCCAAUUUUUGGUACACAUUUCAGUAUAAAACAAAAAUCAGAGGAAGUUUCACUAUUUUACUGACUAUUAGUGGAAACAUGAAAUUCAGUUUGGAACUCAAAAAUUUUUGUUUGGAAGUAGAAAACGUAAGACUUGGUACAAAAGUUGCCAACUGCUUUGUAAACAUGGCUUUAAACAGAAGUUGAUGUUUUCUAGGUCUAAGUACUUGAUAAAGGGUUAAUAUAUUCAAUUCAUUCACCACAACGCAGAAUAUUAUUGUGCAAUAAUACUAAUAGUUGACUUUUAUAUAAGGUAUUUAACUGUAGUAAUUACCUAACCAUAUUCUGCUAUUAAAUGGAUAGUUUUCUAGUCAACCAAUUACAUUACAAAUAUUAAAAAAUGUUAGUCUAUAAAGAUUCUUAGCGGGUCAUUUCUAUUGCAUUCAAACUAGAGUUUAUGAAUAAGUAAACUUUCCAAUGAGAUCUAUUUGUAAUUACCCACCUUAUGUUUUGUCACAUGACCGAUUAUUACUGAUAUUCAUAUUUAAAAAUAUUAUAUAGUUAAGUUUAAUUCAAAAUUUCUCAGAAGACCGUUGAACCAAAGCUCAAAUGUUGCAACAAUGGUUACAUUAUUUUAAAUGCCUCAUUAAUAUUUAAUAAGUAAUACAUUUUUCCACUUUGGACAAGACGCUUAAAAAAAAACCUUUAUUGAACUUGGUCCUAAAAGGACCUUUGUGUUACUUCUGGAAUAGCAGAAUAUUCAGAAUGGGUAAGGUUGGGGGUAAAGAUCACCUCCUGUAAAGAUCCCAUAACAUCCACCACAAGAAGAGAUAGUGGCUAACAUAUCAUGGUGCAGGGUGGGGUGGCUAGUUCUGUUCCUGUAUCUUCCAGCCAAAUCGGCUGGGGACUGUACUCUUUCAUGUUUAGGCUUGCAAAAAUCCUUAACACUAAGGAGGCCAACUCACUCCAAUGGUCAUCCUCGGUAAACCAGAUCUGUUGAUCAAUAUUUUAACACUGAUAUCUUGAUAUCUACAAAUAUUGGUGUGCCGCUCUUGGACAUCCAUUUAGUUGCUCAUAUGUAUCACACCGUCUUUUGUUUUAACCCUUUGUGCUCGAAAGGCCAGCAGCACUGGCCACACUAAGGUUGCAAACAACUCGCGUUAGUUUUGUCGUAGUUUGUCCUCGCAACUCGUAUGGCCAAUACAGUUGGCCGCCCUACUUUCAUUGUCAGCUCGGUGGCCAUAUUUGUUGUUUGCCUCCCCAGAUCGAACAGCUUCUGUAAUUAACAAAUUCCAAUUCUAGCCCUUAUGAGAUGUAUAAAAAUGUAAUGACUUCAGGUUUUCCAAAACGGUUAUUUAUAAUUAAACACAAUUGGAAAACUACAAACAUUUUGUCAUAUAGUGACAGUGUUGUAACAGUUGCACGUACAGCUUAGUACUUGCUAACACAUAUAACAAACAGCAGCCUUAAUUCCCAUACAUUUUCUUAUCAUUUUCAUGCAGUGAUGUUCCUGGUUAUUAAAUGAAAUGACAAAGCGUCAUUAGCUAUUAUUGCAGUUUCUUGGUGUUUCUAACACUUUUUUGUGGAAACCAACACAAAAAAAGUGAAUAGCAAAAAGGUUUUUUAAUAUAUUUUAGACAAUUUUUAUAGAAUUAUAAAACAGUUUUAGCAAAUAGUUUUAGUACUUAAAAAGCGGAAUAAUAAAACAAACUUACUGAUAUUAACUCUCUACUGUUGUAAGUAAACAAUGUUCAUUUGAUAUUACAUGAUUUGUUCUUUGUCUGUGAUAGUAUGACAUAGAAAUAGUUUCAAUAGUUUUUAUAUUUAUUUUAUGAAUACUAAUAUCCAACACUGACACAAUUCUGUAUCGUCAAUUUGAAGUUUUCCACAAGCAAAUUAUUACACAAAGACUAAAGCUAUACAUUUUACCUUGUUACCAAAAUAAAAUAAACAUAUAUUUUGUGAAUGAAAGUUUUUCUGUGCUAUGAGAUUUUUACUGUAUUCGCUUAUAAUCUGUUGUAAUUGUACUCGUUAAUAAAUUAAGCUGAUUGCUUUUGCA